rnacentral:ncRNA from 14 species
GAAUACUUCAUUCGUAAAGGUGCUUAUGUCUAAGAACAUGAGUUAAAAGGGAAGCCGGUUUGAUUCCGGCGCGGUCCCGCCACUGUAUGUGAGAGCAAUCUGCAAAAAGCCACUGAAGCAACGCUUUGGGAAGGUGCAGUUCGCCGUGAUCACGAGCCAGGAGACCUGCCUUUGCGACAACGCCCAUU